rnacentral:RNase_P_RNA from 1 species
AAUCGUGGACAGACGAUCGCGCCCGAACGGGUGAGGAAAGUCCGAGCACGACAGGACACGAUGGUGGGUAACGCCCACCGGCCCGGGGUGCGGGUCAGGGACAGUGCCACAGAAAAGAUACCGCCGUUGCCGGUUCGCCGGUGCGGUAAGGGUGAAAAGGUGCGGUAAGAGCGCACCGCCGGAUCGGUGACGAUCCGGGCAUGGCAAACCCCAUCGCGUGCAAGCGCAAGCAGUCCAGCUCUUCAUGGGCAUCCGCUGUCCGCGGGGCAAGGACGGGUCGCGUGCGAGGAAAUCGUCGGCAACGGCGAUUCAAGAGAAAUGGUCGUCACAUCCGGGGCUGGCCUCCGGAUGCACAGAACUCGGCUUACGUCCACGGCAACCA